CUGGCGGCGUGCUUAACACAUGCAAGUCGAACGGAGUUGAGGAGCUUGCUCCUUAACUUAGUGGCGAACGGGUGAGUAACGCGUGAGGAACCUGCCUUUCAGUGGGGGACAACAGUUGGAAACGACUGCUAAUACCGCAUAAUGUGCCGGGAGGGCAUCCUCCUGGUACCAAAGCUUUAUGUGCUGAAAGAUGGCCUCGCGUCUGAUUAGCUAGUUGGUGAGGUAACGGCCCACCAAGGCGACGAUCAGUAGCCGGCCUGAGAGGGUGACCGGCCACAUUGGGACUGAGACACGGCCCAAACUCCUACGGGAGGCAGCAGUGGGGAAUAUUGCACAAUGGGGGAAACCCUGAUGCAGCAACGCCGCGUGAGUGAAGAAGUAUUUCGGUAUGUAAAGCUCUAUCAGCAGGGAAGAAAAUGACGGUACCUGACUAAGAAGCCCCGGCUAACUACGUG
rnacentral:rRNA from 1 species